rnacentral:rRNA from 1 species
UACAGAGGGUGCGAGCGUUAAUCGGAAUUACUGGGCGUAAAGCGUGCGUAGACGGUUACAUAAGUCGGGUGUGAAAGCCCCGGGCUCAACCUGGGAAUUGCAUUCGAGACUGCGUAGCUAGGGUGCGGAAGAGGGAAAGCGGAAUUUCCGGUGUAGCGGUGAAAUGCGUAGAUAUCGGAAGGAACACCAGUGGCGAAAGCGGCUUCCUGGUCCAGCAC